UACGGAGGGUGCAAGCGUUAUUCGGAUUUACUGGGCUUAAAGGGUGUGUAGGCGGACUAUUAAGUCAGCGGUGAAAUCUCCGGGCUCAACCCGGAAACUGCCAUUGAUACUAUUAGUCUUGAAUGUUGUUGAGGUGGGCGGAACGGGUCAUGUAGCGGUGAAAUGCAUAGAUAUGACCCGGAACACCGAUUGCGAAGGCAGCCCACUAAGCAACGAUUGACGCUGAGGCACGAAAGCGUGGGGAGCAAACAGG
rnacentral:rRNA from 1 species